UACAGAGGUCUCAAGCGUUGUUCGGAAUUACUGGGCGUAAAGGGCGCGUAGGCGGCGACCCAAGUCAGAUGUGAAAGUCCUGGGCUUAACCUGGGGACUGCAUUUGAUACUGGGUUGCUUGAAUUCGGGAGAGGAAAGCGGAAUUCCCAGUGUAGAGGUGAAAUUCGUAGAUAUUGGGAAGAACACCGGUGGCGAAGGCGGCUAUCUGGACCGACAUUGACGCUGAGGAGCGAAAGCCAGGGGAGCAAACGGG
rnacentral:rRNA from 1 species